rnacentral:ncRNA from 2 species
UGAUUUCUGCCCAGUGCUC